AGUUAUUUGUAUUUAUACUUGGUCUACCAGCUCAGCAGCCUGGAGAUACAAAUGUAUCUUUUAACUGCGAUGUCAAACGUCUGAUAAAAUUCGAAUUGCUCUGUGGGAAGGGCACAACAAACAAAUGAAUCCGCGGCCACCCACAACAGCCCACUCACACAUGAACACACCGAGGCACACGGGAGAGAAAUCCACGCACAAGUGUCGGAGAGAGAGAAAUGUGUACACAAAAGCAGAAGUGGCGGGAAACGUUGCUAAUAUUU
rnacentral:lncRNA from 1 species